rnacentral:rRNA from 1 species
AUUGAACGCUGGCGGAAUACUUUACACAUGCAAGUCGAACGGUAACAGGUUAAGCUGACGAGUGGCGAACGGGUGAGUAAUACAUCGGAACGUGCCCAGUCGUGGGGGAUAACGUAGAGAAAUUUACGCUAAUACCGCAUACGAUCUAAGGAUGAAAGCGGGGGACCGUAAGGCCUCGCGCGAUUGGAGCGGCCGAUGUCAGAUUAGGUAGUUGGUGGGGUAAAGGCCUACCAAGCCGACGAUCUGUAGCUGGUCUGAGAGGACGACCAGCCACACUGGGACUGAGACACGGCCCAGACUCCUACGGGAGGCAGCAGUGGGGAAUUUUGGACAAUGGGCGCAAGCCUGAUCCAGCCAUUCCGCGUGCAGGAUGAAGGCCCUCGGGUUGUAAACUGCUUUUGUACAGAACGAAAAGGUCUGGGUUAAUACCCUGGGCUCAUGACGGUACUGUAAGAAUAAGCACCGGCUAACUACGUGCCAGCAGCCGCAGCAA